rnacentral:rRNA from 1 species
AGCGAACAGGAUUAGAUACCCUGGUAGUCCAUGCCGUAAACGUUGGGCACUAGGUGUGGGGGACAUUCCACGUUCUCCGCGCCGUAGCUAACGCAUUAAGUGCCCCGCCUGGGGAGUACGGUCGCAAGGCUAAAACUCAAAGGAAUUGACGGGGGCCCGCACAAGCGGCGGAGCAUGCGGAUUAAUUCGAUGCAACGCGAAGAACCUUACCAAGGCUUGACAUACACUGGACCGUUCUGGAAACAGUUCUUCUCUUUGGAGCUGGUGUACAGGUGGGGCAUGGUUGUCGUCAGCUCGGGUCGGGAGAUGUUGGGUUAAGUCCCGCAACGAGCGCAACCCUCGUUCUAUGUUGCCAGCACGUGAUGGUGGGAACUCAUAGGAAACUGCCGGGGUCAACUCGAAGGAAGGUGGGGAUGACGUCAAAUCAUCAUGCCCUUUAUGUCUGGGGCUUCACGCAUGCUACAAUGGCUGGUACAAAAAGAGGCGAACCCGUGAGGGUGAGCAAAUCCCUUAAAGCCAGUCUCAGUUCGGAUCGUAGUCUGCAAUUCGACUACUGGAAGUCGGAGUCGCUAGUAAUCGCAAAUCAGCAACGCUGCGGUGAAUACUUUCCCGGGCCUUGUACACACCGCCCGUCAAGUCACGAAAGUCGGUAACACCCGAAGCCGGUGUCCCAACCCCUUUUUGGGGAGGGGGCCGUCUAAGGUGGGACUGGUGAU